GCUUUUAUACAUAUACAUAUGUAUAUAUACACGUGUAAAUAAUUGUUUAAUAAAAAAUUGAAGUAUUACACGUGUAUCAAAAAUAGAAUAAUAAUUAACAAAUAUAGCUAUAAGAUAUUUAUAAGAUGCUAUAAAAUUUGCCCUAUAAGCGCAUAAUAUUAUUUAAUAUUAAGUAAUUUUAACUAUAUUCUUAGAAUAUUUAGUGUAUAUUUAAUAUUUUAAGAGUAUACUUAAAAUAUUGAAUAAUAUUAUGCGCUUAUAAUGACUUUAUUCAAAUAAAAAUCCGACCUCGACCAGCAUCAAAUAAUUGAUUGUUAGAAUUCUUUAAUCUCUCUAAAAUGUAUAAACUUUAUAAUGUGUGAUAUUUCUGUUAAAUAUUUUUUAUUUCAAUUGGCUACGUUGUCUAAAAAUUAUGCCUUUUAUUUUAUUUACAUUUAUAACAACCAAAAGUUAAAAGUUAAUUUAAGUAUCACAUAAUAUUCAAAUUGACAAAAAUAUAAUCAUUAAUUUUUUAAUAAAAUAAAAUAAAUAAACUAAAUUAAAAAGAUUUAAUAGUUAUUAUUAGAAUAAAUUAAUAUAUGUAAAUUCUUGAUCUCUAGUACUAAAAUAUAUAUGCGUGCAACAUUUGAAUAAUAUUAGACAAUAGAUACAGAUAUUUAUAGAUACAAAAAUAUAUACAUUUGACAUUUAUUAAAAUUAAAUAAUGUUUUUCAAUUUCAUGUUUAUCGACAAUAAAAUUAGCCCCUUUGAAGAAAGUGUAUUUAAAAGUGUUAAAAGUACACCCAAAUAUACUCAACGUAUGUAUAAUUUAAAAUAUUCUAAAUAUAUUAUGUUAUACAUCUUACAUAAUAUAUUAUAUACAUAAUAAAUAAUAGAUAUUUGAUCAUAUAUUAUUCAAAUUUUAUCUUGUCUAACUGUUCUUCGCAAAAGGUUUUGCUUGGCAAUAGAAUUAAUUCAUCAAAAAAUAAAAAAUAAUAAUAAGUGUACAUAGUAUAUUUCAAUGCACAUAUUAAAAGUUAUUUAGGGCUAUAUCUUAUUUAAUAUCCAAUAUUAAAAGCCUUCUUCAUAUACACAUUUUUCAAUUGAUACAGAAUUGUUUAUUUUUCUUACUUCUUUUAAUUUAUUAUUGUUUAAUUAGUAUUCUUAAUUUUUAUUGUUUCUGUGUUACUUCAAAAUAAAAUUAAUAAUGUUUCAUAUUAUUACAGGUUUCUAUUAUACAGGUCUUAUCAUAUUUCGUCAUAACGUAAGUUGAAUUUGCAGUGAGUAUACACUUUUUCAAUGGACAAGAAACAUAAAAGAUUUUUGUUAUUCUCAACGACACGUUCAAAGAAUAAUUGCAAAAAAUACAGCUACAGAUAAAGAUGUUAUAUCUGAGCCAACACCAAGUUGUUUUUAUCAUGUAUCUUCCGCUGAUAAGAACAGUCCAGAAGUAACAUUUAAAAAUAAUACUAGCAAUACAAUUACAGAAGUACUGGUUCGGAUAAUGAUAAUAAUUACGACAAUGAUAACAGUGAUAAUAAUUUAACCAAUAAUAAUAUAGGUCUAUCUGGUGAAUUUGUUGAUGUAGAAUUAUCUUGCCAAGUUGAGGAUUUACAGUCAGAAAACAAAAUAGAAUUCGAUUUUGAAAAUUAUUCUGGGGAUGAAAUUGAUGACUCAAAUUUAGAAAAUUUUGAUGAAUUAAAAAAAAUUUAUGUAAUUGGUAUAUAGAUAACCGUAUAUCGCACAAGACUUUGACUAAUUUGUUGCUUAUUUUACGGAAAUGUACAAAAUUACCAUUUCCCAAAGAUUCGCGAACUUUAUUAGAUACUCCUAGAAAUGUGGAAUGCAUUCCUGCAGAAAUAAAUUAUCAUUUUGGUUUUAAGAAAACUCUUAAAAAAAUGUUGCGAGAUCAUAAUCAACAAGUAGGUUUAACUUAAUAUUCUUGAAGUUUUUAUAAAUAUCGACGGUCUACCAAUUACAAAAUCUGGCAAUGCUUCUUUGUGGCCUAUACUGUGUCUUAAUUCUAUUACGAAAUCAGUAUAUAUUGUUGGGGUAUACUAUGGCAAAGCAAAACCUGCAAAUAGUAAUGUUUUUCUGCAAAAGUUUGUUGAUGAAGCAAUUGAUGUAAUAAAUAAUCCAUUAAUUUAUAACGGACAAAAGAUUGAAAUUAAGAUAGAUGGUUUAAUAUGCUCCAACUAAAUCUUUUGUUUUAAAUAUUAUAAAUUAUAAUGGUUACAAUAGCUGUACACAAUGUACUAUUCAAAAGAAAUACAUUAAUGGACGAACAUGUUUUUUCUCGAAAAAUAACGACUUUGUUUAAAAAAAAAAAAAACGUAAAUUUUGUUAAUCAUAAAUAUAAUAAUUAUCAUAUACAGGAGGAACAAUAUUAACCAAUAUUCCUAAUUUUAAACCUGUAACAAACGUACCACUAGAUUAUAUGCAUUUAGUUUGUUUAGGAGUUGUCAAGAAAUUAAUUUUACUUUGGCAUAAUGAACAAAGUUCAGUGAAACUUUCAAAUCAUUUGAAACAAAUGAUAUCGGAAGCAUUACUUAAUUUACGAAACACAGUGCCUUAUGAGUAUCAUCGUAAACCAAGAUUUUUAAUAGAUUUUAGAUUGUGGAAAGCAACAGAAUUUCGGCAGUUUCUCCUAUAUAUUGGUCCAGUCGUAUUAAAAAAUAUUUAAAAAAAAGAUGUUUAUUUAAAUUUUUUAAGUUUACCUGUUGCAAUGACAAUUCUCGUAAGUCCAGUUUUUUCAAAACAUAUGAGUAAUAUAAACUACGCAAAGUUUACUAGAGUAUUUUGUUAAUACAUUCACUUAAAUUUAUGGUGAACAAUAUGUUUCUCACAAUGUUCACAAUUUAUUGCAUAUUUGUACAGAUGCACAGAUAAUAAAUAUGGACCCUUAGAUGAAUUUACUGCAUUUUUGUUUGAAAAUCAUAUGACACGUAUUAAAACAUUGAUUUGUAAACCAGAUAAACCUCUCCAGCAAUUAGUAAAACGGUACGCUGAAAUAGAAAUGUUAGAUUCAAAGAUCUCAAAUCGUGUUAAUAAACAUAAUCACAUAUUAUUCAAAAAAUAUCACAGUCAGCCCUUUGAUUGAAAGAUAUAAUAUUACUUCUCAAAAUAUUUCAAAGUCAUUCAUAUUUGAUUAAAAAAAGUUUUACCAAACAAUAUUCUUUAAGAAAUUCAAUCUCGGUGGGAGUAAAAGUUUUAAAGGUAGAGCAAGAAGAGAAUAUAGAGACAGCACACAACUACGUUACUCAGUGCCAGUAGUCACGCACAAAGUAAGUAAAAUAAUAACAAAAUAAUAUAAAACACAUGAAAAUAAUUAUACUUAAUAAUAAUUAUAUUUUUGCAGCAAGUAAAAAAUAUGAUGCGGAAAAUUAUUCAAAAAGAAAAAAAAAGCCGGAAAUUUAGUGCAAUAUACUCUCGUACCAACCGCACCAGGAUAUACUCCCGCACCCGCGAGACCGCCGUGUAUCUUCACGCGAGUACGCUACUUGCAAAUGAAAUCUGAAUAAUGGCUAAAGCGAUCAAGUUCUAACCAGGCUCGAUCGAUAGCUUGGAUUUAAAAUAAUAAGUGUUUUUGAUUGCAAGAAAAAGUUCGCCCUCAACGAUGUGUGUACGUAAGUUGCCGACACCGAUAAUAACGACGACCGCGGCGGCGACGACUGCGGCAACGAUGGCAACCGCGGCAACGACGACGGCGAAAGAAAUUAAGAAAAUUUCACGCCAUACACAAUAUAAAAAUCCAUAUGGGGGCCUAAACAAAGUAAGUAAUAUUAAUUUCAGUAUGUAUACUGUUUAAUGAGAUUUGUCCUUAGUAGUUAAGCUAUGAGAAUUCUGACUCAAACAAUAGAAUGGGGAAAAGGGGGAAGGGGUAAUUACCUGUCACAUAAAUUUCUUUUUUCUAUUGUUGCUAUUGUUCUUUAUAACAAAUGACCCUGUCAUAAAUUUUCUUGUUUAUUGUUUCGCUAUAACAAAUAACCCUGUCAUAAAUUUUCUUUGUUUAUUGUUUCUUUAUAAUAAGGAAGUUUUAAAAAACUAGCAAUAUUAUUUACUUUUUCAAUAUUUUUAGAUAUUUCCAAAUGGGCUUCAAAAAAUAAAUCCUAUCUAAAUUAAAACAAAAUAAUUGAUAAUUAAAACAUUAAUAAUUUAUGUAAGAUGUAGGGUAAUUUUUACUCAAAUGUACAGACGGUACAACUUUUAGUAAAAAUUAUAUUUAUUAUGUAAACAAUAAUUUUCAUAGCUCUAGAUAGAUGUGUCGAAGAAUAUCUACAUUUCACUUCAAAAAAUCAUGUACAAUAAUGUUUAUCAAUCUACCUUGUGGCAUUAAGAACUUUUAAAUACUUUCCAAGAAUUUUUAUAAUAUAAUCUGCAGCAUUAGAUGACUGGUUUUGCUUAUUAAAUAAUGCUCGACUUUUAGCAAAUACUCUUCUGCUCAUCAUCUUAUAUGUAAUAUCAUUUUCAACAUUUAUAAUAUUAACGAAACUGAUUAAAUUUAACGUAUGAGCAGCACAUCUAUGUUGGGGAGGUAAUUUAUAUAAAUCUGUCCCAUUAGUUAAAAACGGAUUUAUUUCAAUCAUGUUGAAUAUAUCUUUAUUUUCACUAAUUUCUAUUUCAGACUCUUCUGUCUCAUUUUGUUUAAAACUUCUAAAAAAUAAAUUAAUAAAAUUACAAAAAAUGUAAAAAUUUUGUUAAAAACAAAAAUUUUUUUUAUUUAUAUCAAUAUUAAUUAAUAUUAUUGUAAAUUAAAUUAUUGUAAAAAAAUUAACAUACCUAAAAGCUUCUGCAAAAUUAGUUGCAUUAUCGGUUAUACAAUGUAAAGUCUUAUUUAAAAUUUGAUAUUCAAAUACCUAGUAUAUUUUCAAUUGCUUUCGCGAGUACGCCAUACGUGUGUUUUCUGUACAAUCGACGGCAUGCAGUGCCUACUGAACGUCUUUCUAAAGUGUUUGGAUCAAACUAAUGUACUGUCAUUCCUAAAUAGGAUCUUAAAUCAAAAAGAGUACAAUCAUUACAUAAGUAAAGCAUAUAAGUAAACAAAAAUAUCUGUUUUUAACAAAAUUUUCAAAAGAAAAUACACUGUAACGAUCUAAAUUUCCAAAAAGUUUACAAUUAUCAACAAUAUGAAUUAAUCCAUGCAUAUUGUAUGAAAUAUAUCCAUAGAUAACUAUAAAUUGUUUUAUAAAAUAUUGUAGUGAUUGUGCAUAAUCUAGAUAUUUUAUGUCAAUUUUAAUUAGAAUUCUUAUAGCAGCGUGUAAGAACAUAAAAUGUGAAUAUUUAUCAAACGGUAAAAUAUUUUUUAAAAUAAUUAGACCACAAUAUAAUAAAAAAAAUCUUAAUUUAGUUGCUUUUCAACGUUUACAUUCAUUUAGAGAGCGUGUCUUUCUUACAGAAUCUGAGGAAAUACAAAAUUUUAUUUGAAUAAAAUAAUUUGACAUUUCUUCUAUUUGUGUUUUUGAUAAUUUGUGUGUAGAAAGCUAAUGAUAAAACACAAGCUAAAUUAAGAUAUAUAUGGAAGUCAGGUUUGCGAUCGGAGGUAAUGAGUCUGCUUUCCGCCAACGACAACAAAGACCAACAGUGAUAAGGAACAGAGAGAUUUUACUUUUAUUCGCAAUGACGGAGAAAAUCAGUACACCGGGAUUAAUAUUGCCGAUGAUGGCAACUGCUUAUUUCGUUGUUUCGCUUAUUACUUAUAUAGCAAUGAGAACUCGCAUUCAUUGGUGAGAAAAGCAAUUGUCAACUACACUGUAACAAAGUGGUUACAAGAGAUUGAUUUGCUUUUCGCUACAUGCAAAGAAAAGAAAUAUACAAAUGCACAAAAGUACAAAAACAUCAUGAGAUUGUGCGGUGUUUAUGGCACUGAUUACAAAAUUGGCGUUUUCGUACGCUUAUAUGAUAUUUCAGUUAUAAUAUUCCGUGAAGUGUAUGACAAAGUGGACAACAACGUUCCGGUCAUUGGGUGAUCCUUGAGACAAGGCCCCAGGCAGAAAACAAACGCAUCGAGAAAGCAGCAGUAAUGACUGUACAGCAAAGAAUUGAGACACUGGAUUUCAGAUUGCAAGGAAAAAGAUAAAGUAAGUAAAGAGAAAUAUACUAAAAUUCCGGACACUUUUGAUAAGGUCAGUGAGAUACUUUGCCACCUCACAGCAAAAAAUUCGGGAGAAGAAAAAAUAAAAGACAAUUUAACAGUGACGUUAGAUGGAAUGGAACUGAACCAGAGCAAACAAUUAACAACAAAUAAUCAGGAGAAUGCAGAUGCAUUAGAUAUAAUGCAAUAUCACGAAUCGCAUGAUGUAAGAGAUGAACAGGAUAUAGACAGUAAUCAAGAAACUUGUGAAAAUCAAAUGUAAAAAAUGAAAAGCGAAUUCAGCACGUGAGAAAAUUUUCGAAGAGAAAGGAAAAGAAAUCUUACGAACAAAGUAAGAUAUAACGCAGAAAAAUAAAUGAUGAUGAUCUAUAUAAAUAUGUGUCGAGCAGUAUUAAUGACUGUAGUUCGGGAUCAGUAAAUAGGGUAAAUUUCUCGCCAAUAUGUAUGACGUAGUCAUAAGGAUGAGUCAAAAGAAUAAAUCUACCUCUUUAGAAGAGGAAAAGAAGAACACGAGCAAGCCGUCAAAUUAUAAAAGUGACGGCUCGAUCAUUUUGUCCACUUUAUAGUUGCUCUACUGCAGAAUGCAUCAAGAGCAAAGAGCAUUCUGGUACGUAGAAUAAUUAUGUUAUUACUUUCAAUAGUUUAACAAUUGAUAUCAUCCCGAUCAUUUAUAUACUUUUACAUGAAAAAUUUUUCAUGUAAAGUUUAUAUACAUGAAGUAAAAAUAUAUUUUGCUAAAAUUUAUACAUAAUUAUCAAAUUGUUUAUAAAAAAUUUUAUUUAGAUAAAAUAUUACACUAGUGUGAGUGAGACACACCGUGUUCUCACAAUAAUGGACACUGUCACAGCCCGUUGACGUCUCGCUGGAAAGUACAAGUCUCGAAAGAAAAACAAGUGGUGCGUGAGAAAAGAAUACCAAAAAAACCCGAGCACAAAGCAAGCCAUAAGAAUAAUUCAAAGAAAAAAAAAAGAAAAUACGAGCAAGCUGUCAAAUUAUAACACACUAGUGUCAAACUUAAAACUAACGUAAGAAUAAUAAUUUAGAAAUUGAUUAUAUUAUAUUAUAUUAAAAAGUAAUUGGUACUAUAAAUGUUAUUCUAUUAUAUGAUUUUAUUUUAAUUAAAAUAACAAAAUAAUUUCUAUACUGUAAUUACAACGUUUAGGAAUAUCAUGUCACAGAAAAACCAU